rnacentral:rRNA from 1 species
UACGGAGGUGGCAAGCGUUGCUCGGAAUCACUGGGCGUAAAGGGCGCGUAGGCGGGGCGGUAAGUCGGGUGUGAAAUCCCUCGGCCCAACCGAGGAACUGCGCCCGAGACUGCUUCUCUUGAGUCCCGGAGAGGAAGGUGGAAUUCCCGGUGUAGCGGUGAAAUGUGUAGAGAUCGGGAGGAACACCGGUGGCGAAGGCGGCCUUCUGGACGGUGACUGACGCUGAGGCGCGAAAGCGUGGGGAGCAAACGGG